rnacentral:sRNA from 1 species
GCUGGGCAUGGAGGCUCACACCUGUAAUCCCAGCUAUUCAGGAAGCUGAGGCAGGAGGAUUGCAAGUUCAAGGCUAGUAUGGGCAACUUAGCCAGACCUUGUCUCAA